CUAGUUGGCUUUGACAGUCAGGGUUACACUAGGCUUGUCUAACAAGUGGGAAAAUAUACUUAAGGCCUCACAGAGGACAGUCACAGGUCUGUUGCAGUCCAGUGGGACUCACAUCCAGCGUGCUGGGGGCAGAGCUGAAGGAAAGCCAGGACAGAAUGGGAUCCAUUGCUUCUGCAUCAACCCACGCCCCAAAAAUGCUCCGUUUGAUGUGUAUGCUCCUGUGGUGAUGUUUCCAGCCAGAAGGAACCCUGGCUUUCCAGUAUCAGCCAUUUGGCACGGGGACUCUAUCGACUUGCUCAUGGAUGUAGCAGAAGGCAUCGCGUGAGAUGCACAAAAACCAGUUCCUGCUCUGCGUCACCUCCUCUCCUCCAGGCUUGCAGCACCACACAACUUGCCAGCGGACUUGCCUGUACAGUGCAGAACCAGCACCACAUCUACCCAGUGCACUUACAAACCUAAACUCAAAGGUAGCACGCACUUCCCUCAAAUAACCAAAAGCAAACCAUGCCGUGACGUGGCAGGAGGGAUCCCGUAGCUCAGCGAUGCUCUGCCACUGGGAACCAGCGUGGUCCAGGGAACGGGGCCGCACCGAGAGGACAAGCCCCUCGGCGAGACACCUCGGACCCAGGCUGCGAGUCAGAGGAGCGGCCAGGAAGGGCUCAGCUCUGCCUGUCUGGAAAUAUUUCUGUUCUCCAUUUGGUCUGCAGGCAGUGGGACAUGACCCUGAAGGAAGCCACCUCACUGCAGCGCCCGGUGCUCCAGCCGUUUAGCACCGACAGCAAAAUUAGGAUGGGAAAAGGAAACAGCGUGAGGUCAGAGGGUUACGGUAACCAGAGCGCUUUGAAGUCAGGCUGUGGCUUCAGGUGCCUCAAGUCAGAGCUCCUCCCAAGUGCAAUUACAGCUGUGCCACAGCAGAGCUGCAGUUCUGCAAUUUAAGACUUCAGGAGAGCCACACUUGUUUGGGCUAAAAUCACUUCAGACACUAGCAAAAGCUUGAGCAUUAGAGGAAAUACACUCCCUUGCAGCAAAGGAAAACUGCUCCUAGGUUAUCACUCCAGCUCCUACGCUGUACCAACAGCAUUACUUCACCUUCUGCAAUCAUCUGAGUCAAGAGCCAGGAUAUUUGUUUAGAAAUUCUGCCAUGAGUGAUUAGCCUGUGCAAAGUUAGAGUGGAAACCAGUUUUAUUGUUUAAGGAAGAGAAAAGCUGCCAGUGCUUUGUGGAAUUGCAAAUGACGUGGUGUUUUCCCCGUGCCCUGCCACCCUCCUGAGAUACAGCCCCAUCCUGGGGGACACUGCCUGAACAUCUCAAUAAAAACCCCACCCACGAAGGUCACUUCGACGUCAGCCCUUCGGUCUCCUACACGCUGCCAAAUCUGGGAUCCCCUGGCUUUUGAUUUGCUGCAUUAAAAAGAUGCAGUAAGAGACACGUCCCAGAAGGGCUCAAGCAUCUCUCAGCUUUCCCACAGAGGCCAACGGAGGCAGAAGAGACGUGCUGACUCCCGAGGAUCACUCAUCCAAAGGGUGUUAUUCAAAGGGAUCUUUCCUUCACUGGAAGGGAAAAACAGCAUCAUAUCGGCUGAUCAGAACUAGUUCACGUCAUAACGAUGAAACAUCAGCACAGAUAUUUGGGAAAGGACCAUUGAAACCUAACAGGUUAUUAGCUUCAUUAUUUUCUCAUUUUUCAUUCUCAAAACACUGUCAGCAUUUCCAAAAGGCUUCCACAUACAGGCAUGGUUGCUUUUGAUGCUAUUUAAUAUCAUAACUCUUUUUUUUAUGUUUUGAAAGUCAACUUUCUUCAAACAGUUGAGCUUUUGAAAGCAAUUCUAGCAACUUUUCCCUAAGAAUGCUGUGAGUCAAAUGUAAAUUAGGGCUUGAAAUGAAUGCCACAUAAUUCAUUGUCUUCUAAAUGAAACAAUUCAAAUGUUAAAAUAAUGCGGUAUGAAGAUAUUUAGGUAUUUGACAACAUGGUCUCCUACCAGCUCUCAAACGAUAAGGGUAAAAAGUGGAAAUCUUUCAAGCGUUAUCACUGACACACAGAUACAGAUUGGCCAGAGUAGGAGAUAAUGCACAAAUACAGAGUAUUCCUCAGGAGAAAACUGCCAGGUCCUUUCUGUUUCUAGCCUGCUGUGAUAAAUAAUUUUACUCCCAGCCAUUUCCCUUGCUACCCCCACCUAAGAAGAAAGGAUAGGUCAAACUUUGUCACUCUGUUAGCUCCAGUGAUACUACGCUGGGUGAUAACAGCCAAAAACCUGAUCCAAACAAUUGGAGCAGCUCCUAACAAAAAUAAAAAUCGCACACGAAAGAUUUAAGUAACCCUUCAGUGCUCAUUUCACUGGAAUACUUCAACAGGCACUAAUUAAAAGCAUAUUUAGCUGCCUUGGUUAGAAGGCUAGUCCCAAAGUCAUGAGAGAAUAAAAUCUGAUUUAGAAAAGCAGCAGCCCCAGUGCUAUUUGAUUAAUUUGUAGUAAAUGUGUCCUGGUGGGUUGCCAGCAUCACGAAGUGGUCGUGGAAAGCUGCAACAGACAGUGCCCGGCAGAGCCGGUUUCAGCUGAGCAGUUCUGGUCUCGGAGAGGGGCUUUGCAAAUUCCCACCCUUGGAAGGAAUUGUUAGCCACCUAAACUCUAGAAAUGCAUGACGUGAAGAGUCUCAGAGAAGGGUGGAGGGAGAAUCAGGUUUCUGAGAGCUUCACGAGGCUUUGAUAUUUGGAAACAGAUUCGCUCAAAUGCAGAUAGACAUCAGCCUAGCUUGGUAUGCUCUUGCUUUUGUCAGCUGCCAGGAACAGGGAUGGAUGAAGCAAGAAUCCACACCAUUUGGAAUUACACCUGUUUUACAACCUGCACAAUCCUUGUCUACAAUAAACAGCAUCUGCUGAUCCACUCUCCAUUUCAUCCCCCUCUCUUCUACUUCCAAAAGAACCAUAGAGAGCACAGAAGUUAUUCCAGCUUUCAGAAAGCUGCUUCCAAUGCUUAGUAGCAACUCCCUGAACCACGCAGCAAGGACCAAAACAAACUGGGAAGCCUCUCUGAUGGGUCCCAGGCUGACUUUUCUCCUGAUUUUCCACUUCUCUGCCAUCCGCAGCUCCCAAAGGCACAAUUUUGUUCAGUCACCGACUUCGAAACUCAUCACGUUCUUGGGAGGCAACAGCAAGGGAGGUGCACACAUUGAGCGACGCAUCCAAAGGGGCAAGCGUCCCAGGGAAAACACUCCUACCCAUCCCGUUUGUAGUAUCCUACUUUUUCCUGCUCUGCUCGACAUCUGCCUGCUCUGCCAGGAAUGGCCACGGGUCUGCUCCACCUUCCUUCUGCUGACACAGGAGAACGUAGGAGUCAGCAGAAGGAAGCAAGGACUUCAGUGGUGACCAAUGAUUAACACACCAUCUCCACCUCCUCCACUUCUUCAUGGGUCAACAACAAAGGCCAUGGCCUGAUUUUUAUGGAAGAUCUACAAAGGUGCAGCCAGAAAUGGAGCCUCCUUCCACUUUCAGGCUCCGAAGCCCUGAGGCUGGGGAUGGGAGGGACUCACAUCUUCUGCUCAAGUCCCAGUAACAAAAAUGGUUGGCAAUAUCUACUAAUUCUUUGCUAAGCUUGUGGCAAUUCUUUCAACCUCUUUCAAACCAGAAGGCUCCAACAAGCACACAGAGCUUUAAUUGGCCAACAGUUUACACGCAAGUUGGGUUCCGCAGAGCAUGCUACUUAAUUUUCUGCUCUUAGAGGUAUUUCUCUAAUCAUAAAAUAAAUUGGGAUUUCAAAGUUAGCUAGCUUACCUGAGUUGGAGCCACCAUCUGUUAUUUUAGCCUGGCCAGAUUUGCAUAUGCCAUUACAAAAAUUCGCCCCAAAUCACAGCUUCAGUAUAAUUUCACGCAUGUGACUCAAUUUACAAUUACAGCCCUACACCACACUUUCACACUGCCUCCUUUCAGCCCAAGCCACAGCCCAACAACCACCACAACUUGACCUACUAAUCUUCUCCCCGCAUCCACGGUUUCUGCCCGUGCCACAGAGCAUCGUGGAAGGAGAACCUGCCUUUACGUACAGGGCAGCAGUGACAAAACAUCCCACCCCGUCUAGGCAUGCUGCUCCACUGUUUAAUUAUCUUUGCUGUUAAAUCCAAGGGGCAAGUUCUCCAGUUUCACUGUCCAACCCUGUGAUGUAAUUCCACCUUUGAUCUUUUAGGGGACUAAAAAGCCGUAGCAACUUACUGGGGCCUUCCUUCACGCUUGCUCACCGUACUAUUUUCAUUACCAAUUCUGCCUAAAAUUGCUACAAGAACAUACCAAGCCAGAUACGACCUGCUUGCCUGCUCGUAAUUAAGGUAACACUACUGCUGAACGGAGUCCAAGGUUUUACUCCCACAUGGCAAGCAAAAGCUUGCAAGGCUCUGCAGCCUUGGAAGCCCUUCCAUCCAUGUGCAACCCAGCCACUUUUUAUGGGAAGCAAACGGGUAGUGGGGUGAUCUCCCACCAGCAGCCAAAAAAACGCACAUGAAGGCAGCUCUGGUUAAGCCGAGGGGUCAACAAGCCUGUCCCCAAAUCCAGCUGGCACCUUUCCACCCUGUGCCCAUGGAAGAAGGGGGCUGCUGCCACAUCCCACUCGCACAGCUGCAGGAUGUGGAGCAAGGGAGAGUUCAUUCCCAUCCCGCCCCGUGCUUUCAGCAUUCCUCGCGUAUUAGGUUUCCGCAGAAAACAAAGCAGCUUUGCUUUCCAUUACAUACCCAAACACAAGUAUGCGAGGGAAUUAUAAGGUAAUUAGUCUGGAUAACCAGCACGUUGAUUUUACUAGUCAGUACUGCGUAAUUCAGGAAAUCGUGUGUUGGUAAGAAGAAUGGAGACUGCAUUAAAGAUGUAAUGAAGUUUGAAUAGCUCAACUUUCCAGCAGACGACCCCAUGCCAGAAAAGGAUCAGAAUUAGUUAAGCUAGUUCUUUUAAAGUGGUUUCCUCUUCAGUGAUGCCAGCAGAUGAAAAUGAAUCAAAAAUGAAUUAUUAAUGCUGUAAGUUCUAGGUUAAUGCAAGCAAUUUCAUUCAAAAGGAAGAGCAAACUUUGCAAUAUUACCUUGCAAAUAAUGAUCUUUAGCAUCAAAUAUUUGUCAAUACUUUUACAAUUAAACACUUGAACCAUUCUUGCUAGAUAAAGGUCAAAACUCUCAAAUCCGGAGUUUCAUUAACAGCUGCAGCCCCCAGGUCUGCACUGGCAUGAACACCGCUUUGGUACAGCUUGGAUAUCUCGAGUCAGCCAGACACCAUGCUGUCUGAGAGUGCAUUACUAGCAGUAUCUGAAUUUUUACCAAAUAUAUAUAUAUGUUUGGAGCUAGGCACCUGUUUGAGAUACACAGUGACUUCAGAACACAAGGUUAAGUUUUAUUCUAAAAGGCCAUUCUGAAACCAGUAACACCACAAAACCCAGAGCAAUUUCUACUAAAAUAAAGUCUCAAAGAUAGGUGGAGAACCAGAUUUAACUCCAUCUGUUUUAUAUUCAAAAUCCACUGCAACAACUGGAAGUCCUGUCUAUGGAGAGGAUUCAUCUCACCCCUGAGUACUGUUCACUAGUCGGCACUGGAGAGAGAGGGGCUUUAUCGUAUAGCCAAGAUGAAACCUACCCCACGUUCCUCCACUUAAAUUUCCUAAGGACUUACGAAUUAAAACUCAAGCAUUCCCACUCCUCAAGCAGGGAAAAGAAAACCACUUCACUGCAGGUGAUUCAGUAACAACUGAGAGUUUGCUUUAGGUGCUAUAGCUGGGACAACAUCUAAAAACAAUCGCUGCCAAGGGCCGCGCGCCAACGGUGGCAGAAACGAUCCCAUCCGAGGUGGAGCCGCGCCAGGGCUGAGGCCGUUGAGCUUCGCUAUUUUCCACUGCGGCGAGCAGGCUUGGGGUCAAGGCAGAGAAAGAUGCUGCUUUCCCCAGGCCGGCCCGCGAGCGCACGGCAGCUGUCGCGGUGAUAAAUGAGAAGCUAAGCAGGAGCAAGCGAGUGGUCUACAUAAUUACAGAGCUGGUGGAGCCGGCUGGCAGAGCGAGGCAGCCGACGGAGGUGAACACCCAUGGAGAACGGCAUUGCUGGCCAGGGCUCACGCACAAACUUCCCAGGGAGGGAUUAAGACACUCACGUAGGGCUUUAUGACUAACUCGACCAGUCCUUCAGCAGCCACUGUCUAUCUAUCGGAGGAACAGCAGGCAAAAUAUUUAAAGCAACAAUACAAAAAAAAUCAUAGUCUUGACUGCAAUCAAGUUUUCAGCCCUGAAUCUUGUAUACCUGUUUUAUGGCAACUGACAAUCUACCGGUAGAACAAAAGAUUUGGGGAUUGUGCAAAUAGUUCCGGAAAUUCGUUUUAACUGAAAACUUGUGCGCCUCAGAGCAUCAAUAGAUUCACAGCUGGAAGUCCUAAGCAACGUUAAAAUGGCUCUAAAAAUUGCAAGGUGCAUGUCAAACUCAGAUGCUCUUUGGAAACCAUUACAAAAUGUUGUUAUGGUCACAGAGAAGCUGAAGUCUCCAAAUGCAGAGCCAAGGUUUUGUUUUGCUAGCUACAGACACAGAAAACAAAUCCUGUAACGCCUGUGCAGGAGCUUUCAGUACAUCAGCCCAGCUGUUAGAUUCAGGCUUCUGUAAAGAAUUUAGUUAUUUAUUUUAAGAAGAUUUAAUUUAGCCAUGCCUUAAGAGUCUAAACUUCCAGCAACUGAUCAGGAAGACAUUUAUUUGAAUUUCUCUGAUUAUUCUUGCAAGUUGGCACCCCAUGCAAUAAAUGUAGGUCUUUUGUACAGAAUUCAGUGUUAGAUUCAAGGGCUCAAACACAGCAGAAGCUGGUAUAGCACUGGGAUUGUGUGUGCCUGUGCUUUGGGGGACAGUUGGUUUUUUCCUUCAUUUUUUCCAGCACAUUUCCCAUGUGCUGUGUUUGCCCUGAGGAGCCCGAUACGUUUGUGCUUCCCAGCAGAUCAGCUAAUUCAACACUGCUGAGAAUGGCCCUGAGUGCGGGCAUCCACGUGGAAAGGCACCUUCAUGUUUCAGCCUGGGUUGGGUUGGCAGCACCUCGGGGUCCCUCGGGCCCAGCCCCUGCCCCAGCAGGGCCACCCAGAGCAGGGUGCCCAGGCCCACGGCCAGGCAGCUUUAGGAGCUCUCCAGGGAGGAGACUCCAGGCAGCCUGGGCCAGGGCUUUGUCACCCGCACAGUAACCUGUCCUGGCAGUCCUGGCUGACCACAUGUUCAAAUUAAAUCAAGUGGUUACGAGGGUUCUGCUGUCCAAGAUAGCCUCUGGACUACGCUGCCAAAAAUUACAGACUGGAAACACAUCAAAGGACUAAUUACUUCCAAAAAUAACCAGGACUAUUGCUGUGCUUCCUUGUUUGCCUGAACUGUCUCAACCCUCUCUAUUAAGAUUUAGAUGCCCAAAAUUGCAGCUUCCAGAAUUCAUACGUGAAGUUGCUGAACUUCUCCUUCGGCAAGGAAGCUAAGCACAAUUUAAAUAAAUGAACGUGCAAAGUACUGCCAUUAGUUAUUCUCUAAAAGGCCUUCACUUUUAAGAACAAAGAGCGUGGGCACCUCAGCAGCAUAACAAAACAAUAUUUUCCCUGGAUCAGGCCCUGAAUAUCCCAGGGCAUUUGUGAAUCUAGGCUACGUUGAAGAGCAGAGCUAAUGCAGAUGAAGGCACACAAGCGGCAGUUUAUUAUCUACCAGGGUGCUGGCAUUAGGUCAGCACGCAGCACCAUCUCUUUGCUUGGCUUUUGUUUUUUUCCUUUUGACUAGCUGCUGGAUCCUUUUCUGUGCAUUUCUCAUCAACAUGUUU